CACUUUUUCUACCGCAGCUUGACUCAACAUGUGCUCAUAUUAAAUGAUGGAGAUAAUAUUUGUAAUGCUUGGCUCUGGCUGUGUCUCUGAAAAUGCUUUCGCUAUGAAGCACAAACAAACAGCAACACACACAUGGCACAUUUGAAGCAUUAGACUAGCAUCUGCCUUUUAUAACCUCUCUUGUUAUAAUUCAUCUCAGACCACCACUGGCAUAGUGCAUGAUGAUGCCAGUUAAGAUGAGGUGUAGGAUAUAUGAUUCCAGGUGGGAUUGGGUGUAGGAUGUAUGAUUCCAGGUAGAAUUGGGUGUAGGGUAUAUGAUUCCAGGUAGGAUUUGGGUGCAGUAUAUAUGAUUCCAGGUAGUAUUGGGUGUAGGAUAUAUGAUUCCAGGUAGAAUUGGGUGUAGUAUGUAUGAUUCCAGGUAGGAUUGGGUGUAGGGUAUAUGAUUCCAGGUAGGAUUGGGUGUAGGAUAUAUGAUUCCAGGUAGAAUUGGGUGUAGGAUGUAUGAUUCCAGGUAGGAUUGGGUGUAGGGUAUAUGAUUCCAGGUAGGAUUGGGUGUAGGGUAUAUGAUUCCAGGUAGAAUUGGGUGUAGGAUGUAUGAUUCCAGGUAGGAUUGGGUGUAGGGUAUAUGAUUCCAGGUAGGAUUGGGUGUAGGGUAUAUGAUUCCAGGUAGGAUUGGGUGUAGGAUGUAUGAUUCCAGGUAGGAUUGGGUGUAGGAUAUAUGAUUCCAGGUAGGAUUGGGUGUAGGGUAUAUGAUUCCAGGUAGGAUUGGGUGUAGGGUAUAUGAUUCCAGGUAGGAUUGGGUGUAGGAUGUAUGAUUCCAGGUAGGAUUGGGUGUAGGAUAUAUGAUUCCAGGUAGGAUUGGGUGUAGGGUAUAUGAUUCCAGGUAGGAUUGGGUGUAGGGUAUAUGAUUCCAGGUAGGAUUGGGUGUAGGAUGUAUGAUUCCAGGUAGGAUUGGGUGUAGGAUAUAUGAUUCCAGGUAGGAUUGGCUGUAGGGUAUAUGAUUCCAGUUAGGAUUGGGUGUAGGAUAUAUGAUUCCAGGUAGAAUUGGGUGUAGGAUGUAUGAUUCCAGGUAGAAUUGGGUGUAGGAUAUAUGAUUCCAGGUAGGAUUGUGUGCAGUAUAUAUGAUUCCAGGUAGUAUUGGGUGUAGGAUAUAUGAUUCCAGGUAGAAUUGGGUGUAGGGUAUAUGAUUCCAGGUAGGAUUGGGUGUAGGGUAUAUGAUUCCAGGUAGGAUUGGGUGUAGGAUGUAUGAUUCCAGGUAGGAUUGGGUGUAGGGUAUAUGAUUCCGCUGUUGCUGGAGCUCUCUUUCUCGUUCCUCUCUCUUUCUCUCUCUCGCUCUUUCUCUCUCUUUCUCUCUUUCUCUCUCUAUACUUGUCUUUCUCAGGUUGUGGCGUAGUCAUACUCAUAUGUACUGAUUGUUCUGUGCUCUCUCUGUCCCUCACCAUCUCUCCCUUCCCAUCUCUCCUUCCACAUCUCUCCCUCCCCAUCCCUCUCUCCAUAG
rnacentral:lncRNA from 1 species